GUAAAAAUAAGAAAACAUCGAAAAGAAUCGCUAUAGCGAAAUCUGCUAUGUGGCAGAAA
rnacentral:sRNA from 12 species